rnacentral:rRNA from 1 species
GGCUCCUUGGUGAUUCAUAAUAACUAAACGAAUCGCAUGGCCUUGCGCCGGCGAUGGUUCAUUCAAAUUUCUGCCCUAUCAACUUUCGAUGGUAGGAUAGUGGCCUACCAUGGUAUCAACGGGUAACGGGGAAUUAGGGUUCUAUUCCGGAGAGGGAGCCUGAGAAACGGCUACCACAUCCAAGGAAGGCAGCAGGCGCGCAAAUUACCCAAUCCCGACACGGGGAGGUAGUGACAAUAAAUACUGAUACAGGGCUCUUUUGGGUCUUGUAAUUGGAAUGAGUACAAUUUAAAUCCCUUAACGAGGAACAAUUGGAGGGCAAGUCUGGUGCCAGCAGCCGCGGUAAUUCCAGCUCCAAUAGCGUAUAUUAAAGUUGUUGCAGUUAAAAAGCUCGUAGUUGAACCUUGGGCCUGGCUGGCCGGUCCGCCUCACCGCGUGUACUGGUCCGGCCGGGCCUUUCCUUCUGGGGAGCCGCAUGCCCUUCACUGGGCGUGUCGGGGAACCAGGACUUUUACUUUGAAAAAAUUAGAGUGUUCAAAGCAGGCCUUUGCUCGAAUACAUUAGCAUGGAAUAAUAGAAUAGGACGUGCGGUUCUAUUUUGUUGGUUUCUAGGACCGCCGUAAUGAUUAAUAGGGAUAGUCGGGGGCAUCAGUAUUCAAUUGUCAGAGGUGAAAUUCUUGGAUUUAUUGAAGACUAACUACUGCGAAAGCAUUUGCCAAGGAUGUUUUCAUUAAUCAGUGAACGAAAGUUAGGGGAUCGAAGACGAUCAGAUACCGUCGUAGUCUUAACCAUAAACUAUGCCGACCAGGGAUCGGGCGAUGUUAUCAUUUUGACUCGCUCGGCACCUUACCAGAAAGCAAAGUCUUUG